CCCUGGGUGAGGGUCACACCUGCCCACGCCAGGCCGGCCGGUGGCCACCAGACACCCUGAGGGAUGGCCCCACCUUCCCCUAAGGACCCUACAACAACACCCCGCCCCUCCGGCCACCUGAGGUCCCUACUGGGGCGGCCUGAGGCCCGAGCCUGGGGACAGGAAGCCCCAGGCCUGGCCGCCCUGAAAGCCUCUUUCAGCCUGGGCCUCCUCCCGCCACCACCGACUCCUCCCGCGGAAUAAUAUUUGGGCUGUUGGCGGGGGGCGGGGGCCAGAUCCGGAGGCCGCGGGGAGAAGCCAGAAACCGCAGGGCUUCCUGCCUCGGGCCCAGGACUCCGGAGAGACCCCCAGGCCCGCGGGAGGGGGCGGGGGCCCGGGAGACUGAGGGCCUUUCUCUCGGCCCCAGUUGUUUUUUCCAGGAACCAGGAGGAAUUCCCCGGCCUGCCCAGGACAGCGAGGCUGGUGGACGGCGACGACGGGGUGCCAGCACGGCAGGGGGCGGGGGUGACACGCAGCCGGCCAGGCGGGCACAGCGACAGAAAUAGAGGGCCUGGCCUGCGAGGUGGCAGCCUAACCAAGACGUGAGCAGCCCCUAGGCUCCGAGCCUCAGAGCUAAAGAAUCCAAAGAGCCACCCAAGAUGUUGUCCCAGAUAGCGGCCAUCAAAGCACCCCACGGAUCAACCCAUAACAUCAAUCAACAUGACAGUCUUCGCAGUACCCCACGGGCCCACCAGGAUGUCCAUGGUGGUUAUCACAGUACCCAGUGGAUCAUCACAAAGUUCCAUGGCAAGCGACAUUGCAAAAGAUGGGACUAUGAGAAGCAGCUAUGAGACUCCAGCUCUCCUAUCAAGCCAGACUUGACUUGGCAAAAUGUGAAACCGUGCCACUUGGCUCACUAAAGUUUUGAAAUAGAGUUGCUUUAAUAAAAACAUGUUGUUUGUAUUAAUAAAUGAUUGUU